AUUGAGGAUUGGGUCGGCAACGCGCUUGCGAUGCUUCUGGUGUUGCAGGCGUCUAUAAGCUACGGUAAUCUCUUACCAUCAGGUGAGCCGUAUACUUGUUUGCUGAACUAGUAGUA